rnacentral:tRNA from 1 species
UGGACAGUAGCCUAGGGGACAUGGCAUCUACUCGGUAAGCGGAACACUGUGGGUUCGAUUCCCAUCCCUGGAUACUUUAU